CCUGAGAAACCCAAAAGAUCGAAUGGGGAGAUUCAUCGUCAGCGAUGCUGGCACGUGGGCGGUUCGCGAUGACGCGUGACCUCGCGGUCGCGCGGCACGCGGCCGUCCAUUUUAAUUUUAAUCGCCUGGCAUCGUCGGCGUGCACUUCUCCCCUAGUAGGACGUCGCGACCCGUUGGGUGUCGGUCCACGGCCCGGGUGGUAGUCUGUCUCGUGUGCGCCUCGCGGCGUUUCCAGCGGGUCAGACCCCCGGUCGCCCGACCGGCUGCCCGGCGGUACUCGCACGGUAUAUGGCCGCAAUAUAAUCGAAAGCUGCGUCCGGCCCGUCGUCAGCGUGGCAAGUGGUUCCCGGUGCGAGCGGAUCUGAGGCCGCCAUCGGUCCUGGCCAGCUGUUUGGCCGACGGUGUCUCCUAGGACUGGCCAACAUUGAAAUUGAACGUUACCGGUCGGCGACGCUACUGCUUUGGGUACUUUCAGGACCCGUCUUGAAACACGGA
rnacentral:rRNA from 1 species